rnacentral:rRNA from 1 species
GACGAACGCUGGCGGCGUGCUUAACACAUGCAAGUCGAACGGUGAAGGGACCGGUUUUUGCUGGUUCUGGAUGAGUGGCGAACGGGUGAGUCACACGUGAGUAACCUGCCCCCUUCUUCUGGAUAACCGCAUGAAAGUGUGGCUAAUACGGGAUAUUCUGCGCCUGCUGCAUGGUGGGUGUGGGAAAGAUAUUGUUUCGGUGGGGGAUGGGCUCGCGGCCUAUCAGCUUGUUGGUGGGGUGAUGGCCUACCAAGGCGGUGACGGGUAGCCGGCCUGAGAGGGUGGACGGUCACACUGGGACUGAGACACGGCCCAGACUCCUACGGGAGGCAGCAGUGGGGAAUAUGGCACAAUGGGCGCAAGCCUGAUGCAGCGACGCCGCGUGAGGGAUGGAGGCCUUCGGGUUGUAAACCUCUUUCGCCAGUGAAGCAGGCCUGUCCCUUUUGUGGGUGGGUUGACGGUAGCUGGAGAAGAAGCGCCGGCUAACUACGUG